CUCUCUCACUUUCCUUUUUCUCUUUCUUCCUUAUCAGCUUAUCAAACCCAGUUCUUCUUAUGUAGAUCUUAAUUUCAAACAUAUGGUAAAUUGAUUUCCCAUUUUCAUUUUCGCAAUAGGGUUUUUCUCUUAUUUUUUUCCUUGGCUGUUUUUUGUUCUCAGUCGCCUCUGUAUAAGUUUAGCAAAUCUAGGGUUCUAGUGGUGAAGAAGAAGAAGAAUAUGGGUCACGCUAAUGUCUGGAGUCUCAUCGUAGUUGGUCUUAGAAUCGACAGUGAAUGAAGUUAAUGAGUCUAGGGUUUUGAGGUGAUGUACUUAUUUGAUUAGCGUUUCAGUUUUCUCAAAAUUAUGCUAAUACAUCUUGCCUCGGUAUCUUGAUGAAAUAGAAGAGUAAUUUGUUUCAAAAGAAAGAUCUGAGUUGAGUUUGGAGGGCCUCGUUCGUUGAGGGUAUCCUGAUGGUGAAACAAGAGACAAUCUUAAACAAGAGACCAAGUGAACUGCACAUUAAGUGUUAGGGAAAAAACCUGAAAGAAAAGGGGUAUACUGAAUUAAAAGCGCAACAGUCGGCUACCUGAUAAUGGAUUUGGAGGAAAUGUGACAACGUGGCCGAGGCGCGUCUGCAAAAUUCAAACAGAUGCCUACAUGUCUCGGAAAAGAACUUUUCAAAGCAGAUGCAAAGUACGGGAAUGAAUUAAUAGGAGGGUGCAAUCUGUUUGACACUUAACCCAGAACAUAUGAUUUAAGAGGAGAAGCUGCGGGAUAGUGAGAACUUCAUUCUUGGCUAAUGGAAAUCAAUAGAAUUAUAUUGUUAUGCGAUAGCUGGACUAAGUGACGUCGAAGAGUUCUUGGAACCAGAAGAGUUGUGGAUGUUGUAAGAUUAAGUGAUCAGUAGCAUGUCCCUAUUUCUCUAAUUUCAGAAUACUGAGUUUAAGUGUAACUUUUAUCAUGUGCUCCUGCUGGAACUGGUUUUAGUUACAGUUCUGAUGAUCAUGACCUCUAGCAUGUGAAUUAGCAAUAAAGCUUUAUGACGGCGAUGGAUGGUAUCGAUGAAUCUGCACUAGAUCGUCAAUCCUGCUCUCUCAGCCGACAGAAGUUGGUGACCUUCAAAAGGUUGAUCCUAGAAAAGCUUGUGAAUAUUUCAGUAGUUGCUUCAAAGACCCAUCAACUGUUGCUGUUGUGAUUGUUGGAAAUCUGGAUCUUGCUAGCGCACAUCCUCGAAUUUUACAAUACUUGGUAAUUUCUAUCACUCUAACAAGAUGCUUGGCCUUGAAACAGUUUUAGCGAAGAUUUGAUGCUUGCAAAUUGUUGCUUAUGGUUGCUCCUGAAUUGGUGUUAUAAUUACUUUCUACUAGACAGUUGGAAGUUGCUGCAUCUAAGUACCAUGGUUACUGCCUGUACCUACAUUAGCAAUUGGUAGAGGUGAAUACUUGUCCUUGACUAGUAGAGUUUAAAGUUCUGCGAAUUCUGUGUCCCGUGACCAAGGAAGUUGGUGCCCAGCUCAUAAUCACUGAAAUUGAUUACCUUGUAAAUUGAUUUGGAUUUUUCUUUAGGUUGUAAAUUGAUUUAGAUUUUUCUUUAGGACUUGUAGCACUUUUCUAAGACAUGAAUCCUUUUUGUAUAAUUUAUAAUGUAAUGAAUGUAAUUGACAUUUUAUAUGAAAUGAAUUAUUAUAUGAUUUAAUCUGAA